GACGAACGCUGGCGGCGUGCUUAACACAUGCAAGUCGAACGGAAAGGCCCUGCUUUUGGGGGGGGCUCGAGUGGCGAGCGGGUGAGUAACACGUGAGUAACCUGCCCUUGACUUUGGGAUAACUUCUGGUAACUGGGGCUAAUACCGGAUAGGAGCUCCUGCUGCAUGGUGGGGGUUGGAGAGUUUAGGCGGUUGGGGAUGGACUCGCGGCGUGUCAGGUUGUUGGUGGGGUAGGGUCUGACCAGGUCAUGGGCCCGUAGCCGGCCUGAGAGGGUGACCGGCCAAACUGGACCUGGGAUACGGCCCAGCCCACUACGGGAGGCAACGGAGGGGAAGAGUGUACUAGGGGCGGAGGGCUGAUGUAGCACAGCCGCGCGGGGGAAGACGGGAUGCCGUUUGUGAUCCAAUUUCGUUUUAGACGAGGCGUUAAUGACGGUACCGGGUAAAUAAGCACCGGCUAACUACGUG
rnacentral:rRNA from 1 species